AUUGAACGCUGGCGGCAUGCCUUACACAUGCAAGUCGAACGGCAGCACGGGAGCAAUCCUGGUGGCGAGUGGCGAACGGGUGAGUAAUAUAUCGGAACGUGCCCAGUCGUGGGGGAUAACGCAGCGAAAGCUGUGCUAAUACCGCAUACGAUCUAUGGAUGAAAGCGGGGGACCGUAAGGCCUCGCGCGAUUGGAGCGGCCGAUAUCAGAUUAGCUGGUCGGUGGGGUAAAGGCCCACCAAGGCGACGAUCUGUAGCUGGUCUGAGAGGACGACCAGCCACACUGGAACUGAGACACGGUCCAGACUCCUACGGGAGGCAGCAGUGGGGAAUUUUGGACAAUGGGCGCAAGCCUGAUCCAGCAACGCCGCGUGCAGGAUGAAGGCCUUCGGGUUGUAAACUGCUUUUGUACGGAACGAAACGGUCUCUAUUAAUACUGGGGGCUAAUGACGGUACCGUAAGAAUAAGCACCGGCUAACUACGUGCCAGCCGCCGCGGUAA
rnacentral:rRNA from 1 species